rnacentral:rRNA from 1 species
UACGGGGGGGGCGAGCGUUAUUCGGAAUUAUUGGGCGUAAAGGGCGCGUAGGUGGCUUGGUAAGUCAAAGGUGAAAUCCCUCGGCUCAACUGAGGAAUUGCCUUUGAAACUGCCUGGCUUGAGGCCGGGAGGGGGUAGCGGAAUUCCCAGUGUAGCGGUGAAAUGCGUAGAUACUGGGAGGAACACCGGUGGCGAAGGCGGCUACCUGGACCGGUUCUGACACUGAGGCACGAAAGCGUGGGGAGCAAACAGG